CAGUAACACAUGCAACCGUGGUAAAUCCACCUUUGUUCUCAUCUGAUGGAAUUCAAGAUUAUUUUCUAACAAAGCAGCAAGUUCUGGAGAAAGGUUGGAGUAAAAUCUUUAUUGGGCAUUAAGGCAGGCAAGUUAAGGGUAAGUAACAAAAUGAGGUUCCCUGAAAAUAAAAUCAACCCUUUGAAAGUGCAGGGUCAUGAGUAUUCCAAACAAUAAUAUACAAAAAUAAAUUGAAAAUCACAGAUAUAUUUCCUCAAAAUCAUCAUUAGAAAUGUAUCACCCACACAUUUAAAAUAUCUGUAUUAAAGAUUUUCAUGGUUAGAUCUGCACUGGGUGCUUUAAAAGCAAAUUCUGUCUCUAGUUUGAAGCAGAUUGACUGGCUAUGCUUUCUUAGUUGUUGCAUGGAUUUGUUUGAGAUCAAACUUUUUCUCCAAACAGCUGAAUAUGAUUCAAA
rnacentral:lncRNA from 1 species